rnacentral:lncRNA from 1 species
UUUUNUGUUUUUUUAAAGUUGGAUGUAUUAUAUGUGCCUAACAUAUCGCUUGAUAUUGGAAAGGUUUUCUUGAGUACGUCUAUAAAUUAAUAACAACUGUAAAUAUAAAUCAAUACAGUUGAGAAACUCUUUUAACCAUUUUUUUUUUUUUUUUGAGAAUAAAACUCUUUUAACUUUUGAUAUAACUUCAUAAUUCCCAUCUGUUAGUUGUGUCAGCAUGAUUAGCUUGUCAUUUUGACAGUGACAAU